rnacentral:rRNA from 1 species
GAUGAACGCUGGCGGCGUGCCUAAUACAUGCGAGUCGAGCGAACAGAUAAGGAGCUUGCGCCUUUGACGUUAGCGGCGGACGGGUGAGUAACACGUGGGUAACCUACCUAUAAGACUGGUAUAACUCCGGGAAACCGGGGCUAAUGCCGGAUAACAUUUAGAACCGCAUGGUUCUAAAGUGAAAGUUGGUUGUUCUAUCACUUAUAGAUGGACCCGCGCCGGAUUAGCAAGUUGGUAAGGUAACGGCUUACCAAGGCAACGAUACGUAGCCGACCUGAAAGGGUGAUCGGCCACACUGGCUCUGAGACACGCUCCAGACUCCUGCGGGAGGCCGCAGUAGGGACUCUUACGCGAUGGGCGAGAGGCUGACGGAGCAACGCCGCGUGAGUGAUGACGGUCUUCGGAUCGUAAAACUCUGUUAGUAGUGAAGAACAAAUGUGUAAGUAACUGUGCACGUCUUGACGGUACCUAGUCAGAAAGCCACGGCUAACUACGUG